rnacentral:rRNA from 1 species
GGGAUUGCCUCAGUAACGGCGAGUGAAGCGGCAACAGCUCAAAUUUGGAAAUCUGGCCCCUUCGGGGUCCGAGUUGUAAUUUGUAGAGAGUGUUUCGGGUGAGACCACGGUCUAAGUCCAUUGGAACAUGGCGUCAUAGAGGGUGAGAAUCCCGUAUGUGACUGUGGCUCGAACCCAUGUGAAGCCUCUUCGACGAGUCGAGUUGUUUGGGAAUGCAGCUCAAAAUGGGUGGUAAAUUUCAUCUAAAGCUAAAUACUGGCUGGAGACCGAUAGCGCACAAGUAGAGUGAUCGAAAGAUGAAAAGCACUUUGGAAAGAGAGUCAAACAGUACGUGAAAUUGUUGAAAGGGAAGCGCUUGCAACCAGACCUGUCCGUAGGUGAUCAGCCGCUGUUCUCAGUGGUGCACUCGCUCUGCGAUCAGGCCAGCAUCGGUUUCGGCGGCCGGAUAAAGGCCUUGAGAAUGUAGCUUCCCUUCGGGGGAGUCUUAUAGCCCUCGGUGCAAUGCGGCCAGCCGGGACCGAGGACCGCGCUUCGGCUAGGAUGCUGGCGUAAUGGUUGUAA